GAUGAAGAACGUAGCGAAAUGCGAUAAGUAAUGUGAAUUGCAGAAUUCAGUGAACCAUCGAAUCUUUGAACGCACAUUGCGCCCGGCAGUAAUCUGCCGGGCAUGUCUGUCCGAGCGUCAUUUCUGCCCUCGAGCGAGUCCAGCAUCUAGGUGCUGGGCCCGCCCGGCGUUGGGGCACUACGGGAAGCCCUGUGCUGUCCCCCGUAGGCCCCGAAAUGAAGUGGCGGUCCUGCCGCGGCGCCCCCUGCGUAGUAUAACAGCUCGCUUCGGGACCCGGUGGAGGCCUGCCGUCAAACCUUACUCUCUAAGUUUGACCUCGGAUCAGGUAGGGUUACCCGCUGAACUUAAGCAUAUCAAUAAGCGGAGGA
rnacentral:misc_RNA from 1 species